CCCUUCCCUCGCUGAGAGCCUGAUAGCCGCUCCCUGUAGCCGGUUUCCCUGUAGCCGCCGCCUCCUCUCGGUAUCGUCGCCUCUUCAACGACCGACCAGCGGCUCUUCGCGUCCUUCUCCCCCGGACGGCAACCUCCGCGGCUCCGGUCACCGACUCACAGUCACCGGUUUUGAGAGUUAGAAGAUGCAAGGAUGUUCUUCUACAGUUUUCUAUUAUGGAAGUGGCUUCAAGAAUUAUGAUUACAUUUACUUUUGAAUGCACAAAGAUGGAUGUUUGUUAUAAUGUUAAUGGGACAAUGUAAUUUGUAUUUUGUCUAAAUAUGUAAUUGUUUAAGUUUGUAGUUUUUAUUGUUGGGUUGUAAUUUUCAGCUGGACAAUAAUGUUUCAUACAUUUUAUUUUCUUUCUAUUGGCUUGAAGAUGCAAAUUUUUUCUUUUUUAAUGUUUGUAGAUAUAUCCAAAUUCCAAAGUUUGAAACCACCACCAACACUAUCUAUUUGAAAUAGGCUAGUUAUAUGCUUAACAUUAACCAAUUAAUAAUUGGAGAAAUAAAAUAAAGGUAGAAAAAUACAUCCAGUUUUAGAGAGCCCAUUAAGCUGUUGGGCCAUUUUGGCCCAUUU